AGCUUUGCACAGUGGCAGUAUCGUAGCCAAUGAGGUUUAUCCGAGGCACAAUUAUUGCUAAUUGAAGAUUAAUGGGUAGAGCCCAGGGAUCUAGAGUCAGGAGAUUUGCAAUUGCAUUUUGGCUUCUGAAUUCCAUAUCUGACUUUGGGUAUACCUA
rnacentral:snRNA from 1 species